GACGAACGCUGGCGGCGUGCUUAACACAUGCAAGUCGAACGGAAAGGUCCUGCUUUUGCUUGGUGCUCGAGUGGCGAACGGGUGAGUAACACGUGAGUAACCUGCCCUUGACUUUGGGAUAACUUCAGGUAACUGGGGCUAAUACCGGCUAGGAGCUCCUGCUGCAUGUUGUGGGUUGGAAAGUUUCGGCGGUUGGGGAUGGACUCGCGGCUUAUCAGCCCGUCGGUGGGGUAGCGGCUUACCAAGGUUUUGACGGGUAGCCGGCCUGAGAGGGUGACCGGCCACAGUGGGACUGGGAUACGGCCCAGAGUGCUACGGGGGGAAGCAGUGGGAAAUAUUGCACGAUGGGCGGAAGCAGGAUGCAGCAACGCCGCGUGCGGGAUGACGGCCGUCGGGUUGUAAACGGCUUUCGCCUGUGACGAUGCGUGAGUGACGGUAAUUGGUAAAGAAGCACCGGCUAACUACGUG
rnacentral:rRNA from 1 species